GAUGAACGCUGGCGGCGUGCCUAAUACAUGCAAGUUGAGCGAACGGACGAGAAGCUUGCUUCUCUGAUGUUAGCGGCGGACGGGUGAGUAACACGUGGAUAACCUACCUAUAAGACUGGGAUAACUUCGGGAAACCGGAGCUAAUACCGGAUGAUAUUUUGAACCGCAUGGUUCAAAAGUGAAAGACGGUCUUGCUGUCACUUAUAGAUGGAUCCGCGCUGCAUUAGCUAGUUGGUAAGGUAACGGCUUACCAAGGCAACGAUGCAUAGCCGACCUGAGAGGGUGAUCGGCCACACUGGAACUGAGACACGGUCCAGACUCCUACGGGAGGCAGCAGUAGGGAAUCUUCCACAAUGGGCGAAAGCCUGACGGAGCAACGCCGCGUGAGUGAUGAAGGUCUUCGGAUCGUAAAACUCUGUUAUUAGGGAAGAACAUAUGUGUAAGUAACUGUGCACAUCUUGACGGUACCUAAUCAGAAAGCCACGGCUAACUACGUG
rnacentral:rRNA from 1 species